CAGAAACUUAAAGGAAGUUGACGGGGCCCGCGACAAGCGGUGGAGUAUGUGGUUUAAUUCGAUGCAACGCGAAGAACCUUACCUGGUCUUGACAUCCCGGAGACCCUUAGGAACUAGGGGUGCUUCCAUCUGGAAGAAUCUGGAGACAGGUGCUGCAUGGCUGUCGUCAGCUCGUGUCGUGAGAUGUUGGGUUAAGUCCCGCAACGAGCGCAACCCUUGCCUUUAGUUGCCAGCAGUUCGGCUGGGCACUCUAAAGGGACUGCCGGUGUUAAACCGGAGGAAGGUGGGGAUGACGUCAAGUCCUCAUGGCCUUUAUGACCAGGGCUACACACGUACUACAAUGGCCGAUACAAAGGGCAGCGACACUGCGAGGUGAAGCCAAUCCCGUAAAAUCGGUCUCAGUCCGGAUUGGAGUCUGCAACUCGACUCCAUGAAGUUGGAAUCGCUAGUAAUCGUGGAUCAGCAUGCCACGGUGAAUACGUUCCCGGGCCUU
rnacentral:rRNA from 1 species